AUUGAACGCUGGCGGCAUGCUUUACACAUGCAAGUCGAACGGUAACAGGUUAAGCUGACGAGUGGCGAACGGGUGAGUAAUGCAUCGGAACGUGCCCGAUCGUGGGGGAUAACGCAGCGAAAGCUGCGCUAAUACCGCAUACGAUCUGAGGAUGAAAGCGGGGGACCGUAAGGCCUCGCGCGAUCGGAGCGGCCGAUGUCAGAUUAGGUAGUUGGUGGGGGAAAGGCUCACCAAGCCAACGAACCGUAGCUGGUCUGAGAGGACGACCAGCCACACUGGGACUGGGGCACGGCCCAGACUCCUACGGGAGGCAGCAGUGGGGAAUUUUGGACAGGGGGCGAAAGCCUGAUCCAGCAAUGCCGCGUGCAGGAAGAAGGCCUUCGGGUUGUAAACUGCUUUUGUACGGAGCGAAAAGGCUCUCUCUAAUACAGGGGGCUCAUGACGGUACCGUAAGAAUAAGCACCGGCUAACUACGUGCCAGCCGCCGCUGUAA
rnacentral:rRNA from 1 species